rnacentral:rRNA from 1 species
UACGUAGGUGGCAAGCGUUGUCCGGAUUUAUUGGGCGUAAAGAGUGCGUAGGUGGUCUUGUAAGCGUGGGGUGAAAGGCAGUGGCUUAACCAUUGUAAGCCCUGCGAACUGUGAGACUUGAGUGCAGGAGAGGAAAGCGGAAUUCCUAGUGUAGCGGUGAAAUGCGUAGAUAUUAGGAAGAACACCAGUGGCGAAGGCGGCUCUCUGGCCUGUAACUGACGCUGAGGCUCGAAAGCGUGGGGAGCAAACA